GGCUGGUCUGAAGGCAGUGUGUUAUCUCAACUGAUUGUUCACAGCCAG
rnacentral:scRNA from 1 species